rnacentral:pre_miRNA from 1 species
CAAGUACUCCCUCCGUCCGGAAUUACUUGUCAUCAAAAUGGAUGUAUCUAGAACUAAAAUACAUCUAGAUACAUCCAUUUCAAUGACAAGUAUUUUCAGACGGAGGGAGUACAAG